AUUGAACGCUGGCGGCAGGCCUAACACAUGCAAGUCGAGCGGAUGAAGGGAGCUUGCUCCUGGAUUCAGCGGCGGACGGGUGAGUAAUGCCUAGGAAUCUGCCUGGUAGUGAGGGAUAACGUCCGGAAACGGGCGCUAAUACCGCAUAUGUCCUGAGGGAGAAAGUGGGGGAUCUUCGGACCUCACGCUAUCAGAUGAGCCUAGGUCGGAUUAGCUAGUUGGUGGGGUAAAGGCCUACCAAGGCGACGAUCCGUAACUGGUCUGAGAGGAUGAUCAGUCACACUGGAACUGAGACACGGUCCAGACUCCUACGGGAGGCAGCAGUGGGGAAUAUUGGACAAUGGGCGAAAGCCUGAUCCAGCCAUGCCGCGUGUGUGAAGAAGGUCUUCGGAUUGUAAAGCACUUUAAGUUGGGAGGAAGGGCAGUAAGUUAAUACCUUGCUGUUUUGACGUUACCAACAGAAUAAGCACCGGCUAACUUCGUG
rnacentral:rRNA from 1 species